GGGCGGAUAGCUCAGCUGGGAGAGCGCCUGCCUUACAAGCAGGAUGUCGCAGGUUCGAGCCCUGUUCUGCCCA
rnacentral:tRNA from 1 species